GAGUUUGAUCCUGGCUCAGGACGAACGCUGGCGGCGUGCCUAACACAUGCAAGUCGAACGAAACUUUUUGCUUCGGUAGAAAGUUUAGUGGCGGACGGGUGAGUAACGCGUGAGGAACCUGCCUUUCAGAGGGGGAUAAUGUCUGGAAACGGACACUAAUACCGCAUGACAUUUUCUGUUCACAUGGACAGAAAAUCAAAGGAGCAAUCUGCUGAAAGAUGGACUCGCGUCCGAUUAGCUAGAUGGUGAGAUAAUAGCCCACCAUGGCGACGAUCGGUAGCCGGACUGAGAGGUUGAACGGCCACAUUGGGACUGAGACACGGCCCAGACUCCUACGGGAGGCAGCAGUGGGGGAUAUUGCACAAUGGAGGAAACUCUGAUGCAGCAACGCCGCGUGAAGGAAGACGGUCUUCGGAUUGUAAACUUUUGUACCUAGGGACGAUAAUGACGGUACCUAGGCAGCAAGCUCCGGCUAACUACGUGCCAGCAGCCGCGGUAAUACGUAGGGAGCGAGCGUUGUCCGGAUUUACUGGGUGUAAAGGGUGCGUAGGCGGCCAAGCAAGUCAGCUGUGAAAACUAUGGGCUUAACCCAUAGCCUGCAAUUGAAACUGUUUGGCUUGAGUGAAGUAGAGGUAGGUGGAAUUCCCGGUGUAGCGGUGAAAUGCGUAGAGAUCGGGAGGAACACCAGUGGCGAAG
rnacentral:rRNA from 1 species